rnacentral:rRNA from 1 species
UACGUAGGGGGCGAGCGUUAUCCGGAAUUACUGGGCGUAAAGCGCACGCAGGCGGUUCGCCAAGUUUGGAGUGACAGUUGUCGGCUCAACCGACAAAGGACUUCAAAAACUGGUGAACUUGAGGACGAGAGAGGAACAUGGAACUCCAGGUGUAGUAGUAAAAUGCGUAGAUAUCUGGAAGAACACCAAUGGCGAAGGCAAUGUUCUGGCUCGUUUCUGACGCUCAGGUGCGAAAGCCAGGGGAGCGAACGGG